rnacentral:tRNA from 1 species
GCCUGGGUGGCUCAGUCGGUGAAGCGUCUGACUUCGGCUCAGGUCAUGAUCUCACGGUUCAUGGGUUCAAGCCCCAUGUCAGGCU